ensembl:lncRNA
GUAUGCAGGAGCUAAACCAUUAAGGGCCUUAUAAGUGAGAACUCACAGGACACCUGAUUCUGUAUGAGAAAUCUGCAUCUAAGCCUGUGUUACAGUAUCUGUCCAACAUGAGAAAACACAGAGCGCUGAUGUGUGUGGCCUGCAGAUUCGAGUCCUCACGUCGGGGCGGGGAUCCAGGACAUCUGCUGAAGCUGACUAGUUCUGGGAGGUCAAAGUG